UACGAAGGGGGCUAGCGUUGUUCGGAAUUACUGGGCGUAAAGCGCACGUAGGCGGAUAUUUAAGUCAGGGGUGAAAAUCCCAGAGCUCAACUCUGGAACUGCCUUUGAUACUGGGUAUCUCGAGUAUGGAAGAGGUGAGUGGAAUUCCGAGUGUAGAGGUGAAAAUUCGUAGAUAUUCGGAGGAACACCAGUGGCGAAGGCGGCUCACUGGUCCAUUACUGACGCUGAGGUGCGAAAGCGUGGGGAGCAAACAGG
rnacentral:rRNA from 1 species